AAUAUUAAAAUAUCCUUUUGGUGAAUGCUUGGUUGAGUGCUUGAGAGUUUUGAGUGUUGAGUGCUGGCUGCGUUUGUUCUGUGUGAUGAACUUUUAAGAAUCGUUCCCCUAUAUAUACGAAAAUACAUUCUAAAAAUUUGAGCUUUAUUAUUGGAAGUUCGUGAAGUUUUUUAUUCAUGUGAUGUUUUCUUAUGAUUUGUACCUGGCGCCCAGCUUGCGGUUAAGACUGAUAAUUGCAUUAAGGGGAAUAUCAUGGCGCGGGCAGCUAUUAAUAGACAACCUGUCUUUAUAAAAACCACAAUGAAUCAUUUAUAAAUAUUAUCGUAAGAGUUUAUAACAUUGCACCUAAUACAAGUGUAUGACGAAUUAAACGUAAAUAUUUGGAAAUUUGAAUAAAAAGGGGCAAACAAAUGAGUAAGCCACUGUGUGUAAUUCUGAGACUUUUCGUCACUC